GCUACAGGCUUAACACAUGCAAGUCGGCGGGGUAACAUCUGGUAGAGCUUGCUCUUCCAGGAUGACGACCGGCGCACGGGUGAGUAACGCGUAUCCAACCUGGCCCAUACCACGGGAUAGCCCGUCGAAAGGCGGAUUAAUACCGUAUGCUGUCAUUAAGAUGCAUAUAUUGAUGACGAAAGGACUGGCGGUAUGGGAUGGGGAUGCGUCUGAUUAGCUUGUUGGCGGGGUAACGGCCCACCAAGGCGACGAUCAGUAGGGGUUCUGAGAGGAAGGUCCCCCACAUUGGAACUGAGACACGGUCCAAACUCCUACGGGAGGCAGCAGUGAGGAAUAUUGGUCAAUGGGCGCAAGCCUGAACCAGCCAAGUAGCGUGAGGGAUGACUGCCCUACGGGUUGUAAACCUCUUUUGUUUGGGAAUAAAGUGCGGGACGUGUCCCGCAUUGCAUGUACCAUUUGAAUAAGGACCGGCUAAUUCCGUG
rnacentral:rRNA from 1 species